AACGAACGCUGGCGGCGUGGAUAAGACAUGCAAGUCGAACGGGACAGACCGAGUAGCAAUAUUUGGAAUGUUCAGUGGCGAACGGGUGCGUAACACGUGGAUAACAUUCCGGAAAGCGGGGAAUAGCCCAGGGAAACUUGGAUUAAUACCGCAUGUGGCCGCAAGGCUAAAGACGGGGACCGCAAGGCCUGUCACUUUCCGAUUGGUCAGCGGCCUAUCAGCUAGUUGGCGGGGUAAUGGCCCACCAAGCCUACGACGGGUAGCUGGCUUAGAGGACGACCAGCCACACUGGAACUGAGACACGGUCCAGACACCUACGGGUGGCAGCAGUCGAGAAUCUUUCACAAUGGGGGCAACCCUGAUGGAGCGACGCCGCGUGGAGGAUAAGGUCUUCGGAUUGUAAACUCCUGUCAUGCGAGAACAAGGUACUCAGGCUAAUAACCUGAUUGUUUGAUGGUACCGCAAGAGGAAGAGACGGCUAACUCUGUGCCAGCAGCCGCCGUAAUAC
rnacentral:rRNA from 1 species